GCUUUCUUCCAGAUUACUCAGUCAUCAGUGAGCCCCAUGGUAGAGAAAUUCACUGUGCAAAGGUACCCUUAUCUCUUUCACUUAUCAAGGCCAGUACAGGUGUUUUCUUAGUCAGCAAUUCUUAAACAGUGACAAGCUUUUUCCCAAACACUUCCCAGCUUCUUUUAAUAGAAGCAUAAUUUAGUUUUGAGGCCCAAGAGAAGUUUUUUUUUCUGAAGUCAUCCAGCCACAUUUAUGCCUGGAGGGGGAAGAAAGAAAACAAGAUGCUUCUCAGAGAGCCUGUGCUGGGUCACUUCUGUGUCUGUUCCCCACACACUGGGGGAGAUAUUUAACCCCUGUUUCCUGGUUCUUCUCAUAGGAGAAGGCAGGUCCUGUGCAUACAGCCCUAGAAAUGAAAUGAGCUGAAGUAUAUGGACCCUAUAUAAACUGGAAAAGAUUUGAGAAAAAUAUUCAGCAGCAAAUGCAUGGUUUUUCUGUAGUGCAUCUGAGCAUGAGACUGAGCUGCACGAAAAGUGGCUCUGUCCCAGGGAUAGCCCCUCUUCUCUGUCUCUUCUGAAAUAUGUGGACAACAAGUACAAUUCAGAAUGAAGAAUCUGGACUGCUGUGAGGAAUGUAAUUAUAAAAAGAGAAUGUAUUGAACUGUCAGUUUAUUUAUCUAAACUCUGAGUUAAAGAAUUUGUAUAAUUGCUUUGUAAGCAACUGAAAUUCUACAUAUAAAUUUAUCUAAUUGCUGGCUUCCUUAAAUCUAUCAUAUUGGUUUUCUUUCUGCAUUUAAAACCUAUUUAAGUACUUAUGCAUAAAAUGGGAAAAGUUUAUAAAUAAAAAAAAACUAUCAAAAUGA